rnacentral:rRNA from 1 species
UUCCCUAAGGGUAUAAUUAGGGUAAGUUCUGCCCCCUGGAUUUUAUUUAAAGGGCCGCAGUAGCCUGACUGUGCUAAGGUAGCAUAAUCAUUAGGUUUUUAAUUGGGAUCUGGUAUGAAUGGGUAAAUAGGGAAUAGCUGUCUUUUUAGUAUGUUUUGAAGUUAAGUUUUUAGUAAUAACGCUUGGAUGGGUAUGUGGGACGAUAAGACCCUAUAAAGCUUUACUGAGCUUAGGAUAAGGAUUUUUACUAAUUUUAUUUUGAGUUUAGUUUUACUGGGGCGGUAGCUAUUAAGCAUAGUUGUUUUCAAUGAGUUUUGAUCCGUUAGUAACGAAUAAAGAUUAAGUUACUUUAGGGAUAACAGCAUAAUAUACUUAUGGAGUUCUAAUCGAAGAGUAUGAUUGUGACCUCGAUGUUGAAUUAAUUUGAUUUUAGGGUGAAGAAGCUCUGAGAGUUAGUCUGUUCGACUAUUGAAAAAUUACA